UAGGGAAUUUUCGUCAAUGGGCGCAAGCCUGAACGAGCAAUGCCGCGUGAACGAGGAAGGUCUUCGGAUCGUAAAGUUCUGUUGAAGGGGAAAAAGAGCGGAGAGAGGAAAUGGUCUCCGAUUGAUAUUACCCUUCGAGGAAGUCACGGCUAACUACGUGCCAGCAGCCGCGUAAUAGUGCGCU
rnacentral:rRNA from 1 species